UACGUAGGGUGCGAGCGUUGUCCGGAAUUAUUGGGCGUAAAGAGCUCGUAGGCGGUGUGUCACGUCGGCCGUGAAAACCUGCAGCUUAACUGUGGGCGUGCGGUCGAUACGGGCAUCACUGGAGUUCGGCAGGGGAGACUGGAAGUCCUGGUGUAGCGGUGAAAUGCGCAGAUAUCAGGAGGAACACCGGUGGCGAAGGCGGGUCUCUGGGCCGAUACUGACGCUGAGGAGCGAAAGCGUGGGGAGCAAACAGG
rnacentral:rRNA from 1 species